GGAGGGAUGGCAGAGCGGCUGAAUGCACUGGUCUUGAAAACCAGCAAGGUUUAACGACCUUCCAGGGUUCAAAUCCCUGUCCCUCCG
rfam:Methylophaga thiooxydans DMS010 genomic scaffold scf_1104571000268, whole genome shotgun sequence.